rnacentral:SRP_RNA from 1 species
GCUGGGCAUGGUGGCAGGUGCCUGUAAUCCCAGCUACUUGGGAGGCUGAGGCAGGAGAAUCACUUGAACCCGGGAAUUGGAGGUUGCAGUGAGCCGAGAUCACACCAUUGCACUCCAGCCUGGGUGACAGAGUGAGACUCUGCCUCAA